GAUGAACGCUGGCGGCGUGCCUAAUACAUGCAAGUCGAGCGAACGGACGAGAAGCUUGCUUUUCUGAUGUUAGCGGCGGACGGGUGAGUAACACGUGGAUAACCUACCUAUAAGACUGGGAUAACUUCGGGAAACCGGAGCUAAUACCGGAUAAUAUUUUGAACCGCAUGGUUCAAAAGUGAAAGACGGUCUUGCUGUCACUUAUAGAUGGAUCCGCGCUGCAUUAGCUAGUUGGUAAGGUAACGGCUUACCAAGGCAACGAUGCAUAGCCGACCUGAGAGGGUGAUCGGCCACCCUGUAACUGAGACACGGUCCAGACUCCUACGGGAGGCAGCAGUAGGGAAUCUUCCGCAAUGGGCGAAAGCCUGACGGAGCAACGCCGCGUGAGUGAUGAAGGUCUUCGGAUCGUAAAACUCUGUUAUUAGGGAAGAACAUAUGUGUAAGUAACUGUGCACAUCUUGACGGUACCUAAUCAGAAAGCCACGGCUAACUACGUG
rnacentral:rRNA from 1 species